rnacentral:lncRNA from 1 species
GUUUGGUGACACCAGAUUCCCAAUAUAUUGUGUGUGGAAUAGCACUGUUUUGUCAGGUAGUAUGGGAUGGGGUGAGCAACAGGACUUGAUCUACUACAGCCUUACUUUAACACCCUAAAUACAUUGUUACUUCAAGUACCUAAAGAACAAUUAACAUAUAGAUUUCUAGACAUCAGUCCUGGCUAGACAGCAGCUAUUUUGCUGUCUCAUAUACAAAGCCAGGUGCCAGAACCUGUUAGGCAUUCCCCUAACUACAUUGCCACCAGAAAUACAGGGACAGGCAUCAGGACUUGCUUGUCAUUCCAACCCCUGCCAUUAACCAACAUAUACUCUUAGAUUCACAUCUUGCAGGACACCUCCUGUCCUGGCAUAUACCCCAGGUGUAAUACACUGUUAAAUAGCACUUGUACUUGGAGGCACCAGGAAUUACUGUACAACCUCCCCAUUGCCUUGAAUACAUUCCCAAGUAUUGGGCCAUGCACUACUUCCCACCAAACACCACCCUGACUGCUGGGUAUUGAAGCAUGCUAAACAGGUCACCAACAUAUGCAUCACAUUAGAUCCGUGUAUCCGGUCCUGAUCCCUGACAAACCCUCAUAUUGACUGAUAGUCAUCAGGCCAUGAUGGAUACUCCCUGCCACUGUACCAUCAACUCACUGCUCUGUCCUGGGCCCUGCUUGACAGCCUCACAUUAACCACACACUAUACCACUACCACCCUUGAACUAUUGCCCAGAGGUACCUUUGAUGGCCAGUCCAAAUACAUACAAUUUCAUGUCCCUGUGUGCAAUGGUGUUCUCAUGUCCUUCUCGGUGUCAGGACCCUCUUAGACAUCAGCUCCAAUCUGCACCUACUACAACAAUAGUUAUCAGGCCUUGAUGGAGAUUCCUGUACCCCUUUCACAGACUAUAAUCUACUAUGUCAUAGGCCCUGCUGGAUAAACUUAGGACAUCAGUCUUGAUGGACAUCCCCUCAAGAGUCUGUUUGGGUACAAUGCCAACAUGCUGUCCCCUAUGCCAAGCUGUGUGGCACUGUCAAUGGAAUUUCUAGUAAUGUCAGAUAGCUAGCACUGUGUGUGGAUUGGUAUCCUCAGGGAAGGGGUAUUUAGGAAGGCCUAGACACCUGAAUGCUAUGUGGGAAGGUGGCUUUAGGUGUCCACCUUGCCUGAAUGGACAUCCUUGCCUGAAAAUAGCACUGUGUGUGUGGGCACCCAGCAUGGAGUAAAAGCAGUGUAUUUAGGGCUGUGGGAAAGGGGAAAGGCGAGUGAAACAGGACCUAGGGCCUAGCAGUUGUCUGUGAUAGUGGAAGGGAUGUCCUAGAGGGCUUCAAACCUCAGUGUAUGUCAUGUGGAUGGUGUAGAGUGUCCAGAAGGAUCUCAAAAUGGCACUAUAAGUGGGGCUGCAUCAGGAGACAAGCUGUAGGGCCUGAUAGCUUGCUUAUGCUUUUCAGAUAGCAGCAGGGAGUUGUUUUGUUCAGUAGCAUCUGUCAUCUGGUAUAGUAAGUGGUGUAGCCACUCUGGUGUGUUGUCCUUUGAGUCCUGACACCUUAAACAUUACAUGGGUUCUAAAUGAGUGUGUCCAACCCUGCCUGAAAAUUAUCAUUAUAUUUGGGGCAGCAGCAUGGGAGAGUGGAUAUUAUAAAUAUUAUAAACUUAUAGGUAGCAGGCAUUGCUGACACCUCCCUCACAGAUAUACCAUAUACAAUAGAAGCUAUCAACUCCAGCUGCAUAUAACUGGGUGGAUACAACCAUCCAUAACUCAGGACCUACUGGGCCCUACCCCACAUAAACUGGUAGAUUGCAAGUGCUGCUGGCAAGCACUUAGAUCCCUAUAUAUACUGUCAUAAAACAUAUGCUCAGGGAACCAAAUCCUCACUAUUGUGUAAUGGGUUUUUAUCCGACCCUGCUGGACACAUUCCCUCCCUGUACCCAUCACUCAUAAAGAUGCUGCUAUGUUUCAGUCUAUGCUGGUAAAUCCACUCUGCCUCACCCCACAUACAAUACUAAGUCUUAUACCCUGUGAGACCACCCUACCUCACAUACAUUGUAAGGAAUCAGACCCUGCUGUUCCUAACCUCCUGUGUUCACUGCUAAGGUUUAGUCUUGUUAGGAAUUCAACUACCAAACUCAAGGCACUCUGAAGAAUCAGGAGCCCCUCCUCCUGCCACCACUGUGCUUUGUAUAGUGUCAGGUCCUACUGUACCUAACCAAUACACAAAGUGUGGAGGGACAGGACCUAGGGAGGCAUGAUCCCCUUUUCCCAGUCAUUUCCAUCUGCAAACAUUGCACAUUUUCAAGCCAGGUUGGACACUGACCUGCUGUUUUCCCAUAGAAACUUCUAGGUAUCCAGCCUUUCCCCAGCUGCCCAGCUUGUCCCAUGCACACUAGUAUAUCAGAGCCUGUUGGUUUGCCUUGAUCCAUGUAGCGAACUCACAUCCUCUGCCAGCUCUCAGAGCACACUGGGCAUCCUGAUGCACACUUCCACCCUCUGCUACAUUACUGUUGUGUUUCAGGAGUUGUUAUGCAUUUUCUGACAAGCCUGCCAUCCUUCUUUUAUAGUUCAUUCCUAGCAGUAGUGGGGGGGGCAGCAGCAUGGUAUAAUAGCUAGCAGUGUGUGUGUGUGUGUGUGUGUGUGUGUGUGUGUGUGUGUGUGUGUAUGUGUGUGUGUGUUGCAUGUUUGCCUGCUGGUCCUCAUAUCUACUGGAUCAUGUUGGAAGAGGGUGUAUUUCAGACAUGAUUUUUGGGCAGUGGCAAGGUGCACCAUGUUCACAUACGUGCUUGUGCCUUCAAUCCUGAUGCUGUGAUUUCUAUUCAGUAAGGAGAAGCAAACUUGCUGUCAGACACAUUGAACACAUGGAAGAUGGUAGACCCUGCUGUCAUGUUUUAGACAAUGUCCUAGAGAGUUAAGGUUGCAAGGAAUGAAUGCAGAUUUGGGUGUACUCCUGAUCUUCCUGUAAAGUUGGACAGUUCUGUGACCAAGUGGAGGGACCCAGUGUGGCUGGACUUGUCAGAAACUGAUCCAUCCUUCAUAAUUACUCAUGCAUGCUCAGAUUCUAGAGGAGGCCUUUGCCACGUCUUUUUGGCCAGGCCCACAUGGGUGAUGGCUUUUUCUGGCCCAGAAUACAUUUACAAGAGGGUUAGUAGAGGAUGCUGUUGAUACUGCUGAGGGCUACUCAGGACUGCAUCAGUGAGGUAUUUUAACCUUUCCAACAGUCUGUUUCCUGUGUCUCUCAAGAGAUGAAGGAGAAAAGGCCCAUCUCUGUGGGUGUUGAACCAUGGGAGCAGGGAGUAUUCUGACAAGGACUGAGAGGUUAAGGAAGGAGCCAGGCUCAAGCUUCAAGGGGACAUAUGCCUGACCACCCACCAGCCAACAAUGCAACUCUGGAUACAAGUGCCUGUGCCCUUCCUCCAGUUGCUGGAAUUUAGCUACUAGAUCUAUGCUCCAUCAGCUUCCAGGAGCUCCAACCAUGAUGUCCUGGUCAUGCUGGUCAAGAACGGUUCCCUCGUCCCAACCCCUGACUUGGGUUUGCAACAUGUUCUUGAACCUGGACCACCAGCACCAGGUGAGCCACCCAAGGGAAAUAGGCCCCUUUGGCUCCAUUUGCACAUUUAUUAGGCUGAAUGGUCAUGUCUUCUCUUUUCCAGCAGAUGCUGUAACAAAAUUCCUGAACAGGACGCAAGAGUGGUUCAGCUGAGCCUUGAGAGGUGAUUGUACCAUGGCACCUGUCCCCUGGAUGGGACAACUUGAGGAAGGGCCAUCCAUAUUCCUGUUCCCUACCCAGGACACUGCUAAUGUGCAUAUGAGGAGAACACAAGACCCCAACCUGCUGCAGGAUGGAGAGCAGAGACAACUGAAGCCUUCUGCAUAACACUUGUGCAUUCCUUCUGCAGGCUUCAAAAGACUAAUCUGUGAUUUUAGACACAGGACAGGAGGAGACUGAGAGGUGAACGCUGGCCAAGCCUGCAUGUUCUCCCAGGGCAGUGACCUGCAAAUGAUGUUCCACUGACUAGAUUUUUGGAUAGUAAUUGUUGUAGUCCAAGAGACUCUUUGACAAGUCAAGAGUGUGGACAUCUGGAGCAUUCUGGGAACAUAAUUUUAAUAGUAAUAUAAUUUUCUAUAACCUGCAA